GGGGAUAUAGCUCAGUGGUAGAGCAUUCGACUGCAGAUCGUAAGGUCCCAGAUUUGAACCCGGGUGUCCCCU
rnacentral:tRNA from 1 species